rnacentral:rRNA from 1 species
UAGGGAAUAUUGCACCAUGGGCGAAAGCCUGAUGCAGCAACGCCGCGUGAGCGAUGAAGGCCUUCGGGUCGUAAAGCUCUUUUCAAGGGGAAGAGGAAGGACGGUACCCUUGGAAUAAGUCUCGGCUAACUACGUGCCAGCAGCCGCGGUAAAACGUAGGAGGCGAGCGUUAUCCGGAUUUACUGGGCGUAAAGCGCGUGUAGGCGGCGGAGAAAGUUGGAUGUGAAAGCUCCCGGCUUAACUGGGAGAUGUCGUUCAAAACUACUUUGCUUGAGUUUGGUAGAGGAAAUGGAAUUCCGGGAGUAGUGGUGAAAUGCGUAGAUAUCCGGAGGAACACCGAGUGGCGAGAGCGAUUUUCUGGACCAAUACUGACGCUCAGACGCGAAAGCUAGGGUAGCAAAC